UGCAUAUCCAAAAAGCGGAGGAAAAGAAACCAACAGGGAUUGCCUCAGUAACGGCGAGUGAAGCGGCAACAGCUCAAAUUUGAAAUCUGGCCCUUUCAGGGUCCGAGUUGUAAUUUGUAGAGGAUGCUUCGGCGAGAGCUCCCGUCUAAGUUCCCUGGAACGGGACGUCAUAGAGGGUGAGAAUCCCGUAUGUGAUGGGUUGCUCGAGCCAUGUGAAGCUCCUUCGACGAGUCGAGUUGUUUGGGAAUGCAGCUCUAAAUGGGAGGUAAAUUUCUUCUAAAGCUAAAUACCGGCCAGAGACCGAUAGCGCACAAGUAGAGUGAUCGAAAGAUGAAAAGCACUUUGGAAAGAGAGUUAAAAAGUACGUGAAAUUGUUGAAAGGGAAGCGCUUGCAACCAGACUUGUCCGCAGUUGUUCAGCCGGUCUCCUGACCGGCGUACUCUUCUGCGGCCAGGCCAGCAUCAGUUCGGGCGGUUGGAUAAAGGCCUCGGGAAUGUGGCUCUCUUCGGGGAGUGUUAUAGCCCGGGGCGGAAUGCAGCCAGCCUGGACUGAGGAUCUCGCUUCGGCAAGGAUGCUGGCGUAAUGGUUGUAAGCGGCCCGUCUUGAAACACGGACCAAAGCUCUAAA
rnacentral:rRNA from 1 species